rnacentral:rRNA from 1 species
UACGUAGGGGGCAAGCGUUGUCCGGAAUCAUUGGCGUAAAGAGCUCGUAGGCGGUUUGUCGCGUCUGCUGUGAAAGACCGGGGCUCAACUCCGGUUCUGCAGUGGGUACGGGCAGACUAGAGUGCAGUAGGGGAGAACUGGAAUUCCUGGUGUAGCGGUGAAAUGCGCAGAUAUCAGGAGGAACACCAAUUGCGAAGGCAGCUCGCUGGGACGUAACUGACGCUGAGACGCGAAAGCGUGGGGAGCGAACAGG